rnacentral:rRNA from 1 species
UACGGGGGGGCAAGCGUUGUUCGGAAUUACUGGGCGUAAAGGGCUCGUAGGUGGUCAACUAAGUCAUACGUGAAAUCCCUCGGCUUAACCGGGGAACUGCGCCUGAUACUGGAUGGCUUGAAUUCGGGAGAGGGAUGCAGAAUUCCAGGUGUAGCGGUGAAAUGCGUAGAUAUCUGGAGGAACACCGGUGGCGAAGGCGGCAUCCUGGACCGACACUGACGCUGAGGAGCGAAAGCCAGGGGAGCAAACGGG